rnacentral:tRNA from 1 species
GGGGAUUAGCUCAGUUGGCUAGAGCGUCUGAUUUGCAUUCAGAAGGUCAAGGGUUCGACUCCCUUAUUCUCC